rnacentral:rRNA from 1 species
CCUGGUGCUUCUAGCGAAGGGGGUACACCCGUACCCAUCUCGAACACGGUAGUUAAGCCCUUUAGCGCCGAUGGUAGUGCCUCUUAUGGGGUGUUAGAGUAGGCCAGUGCCAGGA